rnacentral:tRNA from 1 species
ACCAGGAUGGCCGAGUGGUUAAGGCGUUGGACUUAAGUUCCAAUGUAGUAUACUCCUGGUA